rnacentral:lncRNA from 1 species
UUAUGUGAGGGCAGCACAAAAACAAGCUAGGAAUCCCUACAUUAUGUAAGAAUAAUUAGGAUUUGAUAAAUUGAUUUGCUUGCUAUUAUAUGGAUUGCAACAGUUAGGGCAGAAUAAAAUAACUAGAUAUAAAAUAAAAAAUAACUAGAAUGUAUAACCAGAAUGUAGUCCCAAAGCUUGUUACCUUCAGCUUUAUUACUAAAAAGUAGACUGCAUAUUUUACCACAACCUCAAUUCCAUGUAAUUCUCCUGUAAUAUCCAAGAACAAUAUGACCUCAUAGCCAAACACACAAAAAAAACACCAAAAAACAAACAAAAAACAAAAAACUCCCCAACAAUACAAAACACUAAAUUCUGUUUCCUCUAAACUCAGCUAUUACUGGUAGCUAGAAAGAUAUUAAGCUCUAUACCUCUCACAUAGACACCUCAUCACCCAGCAACCUAAUUUAGUAAUUCAUAACAUCCUUUUUGAUCACUUUAGCAAGUCACUGAAUUUCCAUCUGACACCUUUCCAGAGCAGAAGGUGUGUGACUCCAACCCAUCUGCUAGAGCAGACAGGUCAGCUUACAGACUUCAGGGGCCCGGGAGCUGAGAGCAUGUAUAUAUUGAAGAGGGAGUACAGAACUGAGGUAGCAGAAGAGGUGAUACAAAUAUUCACAUCAAAAUGGAAACGCAGAGAGAAAAGGUUUAUUUCCUCCUGUGUUUAAGUUACAGGAUGAAACACCUACAACAAGCCAAAAGGGAAACAUAAGCUGACCUUCAGUUUGAUCCCAUGGGCUGCCAUCUCUUUCAGAUACCAAAUGUAUGUUCUGGGGUCAUGGGCCACUUACAAAGUGAACAAUUGAAAUAUUUCUGAUUAUGGGACAAAUGAGCUACUUCCUGAGUCAGGAAAGCAGAAGUUUGCGAGGCAGGACUGCCAAGCAGGCACACUGGCCCUGUGAAUUCACUGCUGCUGAGAAGUGCCAUGUGAUGGGCUCAGCCUGACUGGAGUCGAGGGCAUGUGCCUCCCUCACUGAGCAGCACCCAUGGCCACAGAGGGGUACUGAUGGCUCUGCUGUGCCCCAUUACACCCAAUCAAGGUC